GACGAACGCUGGCGGCGUGCUUAACACAUGCAAGUCGAACGGAAAGGCCCUGCUUUUGUGGGGUGCUCGAGUGGCGAACGGGUGAGUAACACGUGAGUAACCUGCCCUUGACUUUGGGAUAACUUCAGGAAACUGGGGCUAAUACCGGAUAGGAGCUCCUGCUGCAUGGUGGGGGUUGGAAAGUUUCGGCGGUUGGGGAUGGACGCGCGGCUUAUCAGCUUGUUGGUGGGGGAGUGGCUGACCAAGGCUUUGACGGGUAGCCGGCCUGAGAGGGUGAACGGCCUCCUUAGGCCUACGAGACGGAGCAGUGUGCUACGGUAGGCAAAAGUCGGGAACAUUGCCCAGUGGGACGACGCCUGAUGAAGAAGCGUUCCGUGCGGGAUGCCCGCUUUCGGGUUGUGAAAAGCAUUCGCUUGUGACGAAGCGUUAGUGACGGUAACGGGUAAAGAAGCACCGGCUAACUACGUG
rnacentral:rRNA from 1 species